CAUGCGCAUAAGACAGCCACGCUCAUUUCGAUGUCGACACACAUCGACGCACCAGACUCCGUUAGACGACCGCGGCAUUAUCGUCGCUUUUCAAGAUUAUUUUAACGAAGAGAGAAAACCAACGCAAGUUUGCUCGUGGCGCCUCGCGUGAGCAGGCGAGGCCUUGCGCAGAUUUAAAUUCCUUUAAGAAGCUUCCAGGACUGUUGCGACUACUCACCAGCAGGUGGCAGCAGCGGAGCCUGCAGAGAAGCAGGAAGUAGCUCCAUUGUUAGCAGAAAAGCAGAUCUGAGGUCGGUUUUUUAUUAUUUUCUCUAAAUUUGUGAUGCGAGUCGCAGAGUUAAUGUUGCUGUGAGACUCAGCCUUGUUUCUUCUGAACACUGAGUGGUUGUUGGUCACUGUUGGUAGAAUAUAUAUGGCUAAAAUGUGAUCUGUUUCUGUUAGCCUUUUGCGCACAAAUACCGCAUUGCAUCAUGGGAACGAUGAGACGAGAUUUUAGAAUAAAAUGUUAAAGGUUGACAAUCUGGGUGAGCUUUUGUGUAUCUGCUCCCAUAAAUGUGUGAAGCUGCGUGUGUACAGCUGCUCCUUUCAUUGUGCGUUUUCAUUCAUACCGUGAGUCAGAGCAGCAUGUGAGGGCAAGAGGUCCCCAUGCGUGAGCUGAGCAACUCAUACUUACCUGGCAGGGGAGAUACCAUGAUCAAGAAGGUGGUUCACCCAGGGUGAGGCUCAGCCAUUGCACUCAGUGUUGUGCUGACCCCUGCGAACGGGGGUGAGGCGGUCAGUAGUGCAAUUCCCCUAAAUGGCGAUUGGUUGAUUGUUCAAGCAUGUCAAAGUGACUCUGUGGAGAUGCAUGAUGGGUAAUUUUGUCACCGGGGGCACUCAAAGGAGAAAAUGUUUGAUUUUAGGGUUGUUGUGUGCUCUAGAUUAACAGGAGAAUGUAAGUGAUGAGCAGCUGCUUGUAGCUGCAAGUUAGUUGAUAAAAUGCCAACCACCAUCUACUGUGUCUUUGUAUGUUAUGGGCGUGCUCUCAAAGAUGGCGGUCCACCAUUCGCAUAUUUUCCCCCAUUGGUUCUACAUUCAUGUAUUUCUGGGGUCCUGUGAUAAAACUUGCAGUCAGUUGAUGUCUUGUGUAAUACUGAGCAAUAAUUUGUGCUUAAUUUCAGUCAAAUCUUGA